GUGAAGCAAGCCAGUAAGCAGCACCCCUGCAUGACCUCUGCAUCAUCUCCUGCACUCCAGGAACCUGCCCUGUUUGAGGUCCUGUCCUGACUUCCUUCACGCAAUAGAAACUCGAACGAAGACAACAAUACAGGAUGAAACGUGGUUAAUUGGCUGUUCUUUGAGGGUGCUAAUGAUGACAUAUCCAGGGCCCACACAGAGAGACAGCAAGUAUCCAUAACUGCUAUAAAACAAGACAUGAAAUAUGCCUCAGGACUCCAAAAUUGAAUUCUGUGCUCUGGUGCCCACACAAUCAAAUGUAACUGAGGCCGUUUUAAUCAUGGAUGCCCAUUCCCUUUCACGACCAUGUCCCUAAAUGAAAUAGUCAUCAAAAAAUUAGUAUUUUGAAAAGCAUCAAUGCUGAUUGGAGGAAGUUGAUUUCCUUGUCUGGAGACAAAGGAAGCUCACCUAUAGCCUUUCCUAAGCUGCCAUCAUGUGGUUGCUCACACACAUCCUGCAGGGCCUGCACUGCCAUACAGUGACCCCGGCUCCACCAGGGGCUAAGGAGGACCACAGAGAAUAAGCACCCCCAUAACUAGUCUAGGCUAUGAUAGAAAUAUGGGUGUAACUUGCUAAACUUGUUAGGUGUGUCUGUAUGAUUUGCUAAAAUGCAAAAAGGAAUGUUAAUAAGGAAUAUGAAGACACUAAGACUAUAAAGGAUCCUUGAAUGCAGUGUCUGACCGAGACCCUAGAAGAAGGUUGAGACAGGACAAUCAUCAAGUCAGCCUGAGCUGUAUAGGGAGAGCCAGUCUCACCAAAAUAAUUCAUAAUAAUAAUACAAUUUAAACACAGUUUUUCAUAAAAUGAGUUUUGAGAUUUUAUUCAUAUGGCAAGAUUUUAUAUGUGAUUUUAAUAUGUGGUUUCCUAUAAACACAGGAAAACCCAGAGAAAUUAGUAGAAUUAAAUUCUAUCAUAUUUGUGGAUGUAGUGGAACAGGUCUGUGUCCCAACAUUUGGGAGGUAGAAGCAGAAGGAUCAGAAAUCCUCCUCUCCAGUGGCUACAUAGUGGGUUCCAGAUUAGACUGUGUAUUGUUCAAUGAAUAUUAAAAGAGCUGUUGUUUGGGGAUGGGCUUCCCAUACUGGGUCCAAGCAGACCAGACAGAAAACCCAAACAGUGUCACUCACUCACAUUCUAAAUUGUUCACCCCGGCUCCCUAGACACCAGGAUUAGAGAGCUAACAGCCCAAUUUCCCAGAAGGCCUUGGCAUCAAUCAAGAACAUUCCUCUGCUUACUCCUCACUGAGAGUAGAACCCAUUGUCAAUCAGUCAGUGUGCUCCUGUUGCCUUAGAAGGAAUUCAGCUUUACAAUGGCCUGUUUGCUCUUUGUCCGCUUGUAUUUUUUUCCUGCUUCCUCCAGCCUUUCCCUGGCUAUAAACCAACUCCUGCCAGGCCCACAGAAUAUGUUCUCUUGUUUGUGGAAUAAAGUGUUGCCCUACCCUAGAAAGACACUGCUAUAAUUUUGUCCUUGACGAAGUUAGGAGGUCUCAGGUCUGCCCACAUUUGGGGAUGCUGUCAUCUUGGUACUUGCCACUGCUUUUUCCCCAGAUAAGAAGCCAAUGCAGCCAAUAGGACUGUCUGCAGUUUUCUGGGCGCAACUACUGCACACUCAUCGUUUUAGAUCACCCAUGAGAUUAGAGGAACGGAUU